UGGGGAAUAUUGCACAAUGGAGGGAACUCUGAUGCAGCGACGCCGCGUGAACGAAGAAGGCUUUCGAGUCGUAAAGUUCUUUUAUAUGGGAAGAUAAUGACGGUACCAUAAGAAAAAGCCCCGGCUAACUACGUGCCAGCAGCCGCGGUAAUACGUAGGGGGCUAGCGUUGUCCGGAAUCACUGGGCGUAAAGGGUUCGCAGGCGGAAAUGCAAGUCAGGUGUAAAAGGCAGUAGCUUAACUACUGUAAGCAUUUGAAACUGCAUAUCUUGAGAAGAGUAGAGGUAAGUGGAAUUUUUAGUGUAGCGGUGAAAUGCCUAGAUAUUAAAAAGAAUACCGGUGGCGAAGGCGACUUACUGGGCUCAUUCUGACGCUGAGGAACGAAAGCGUGGGUAGCAAACAGG
rnacentral:rRNA from 1 species